AAGAACCUUUUCCUGAUCUCCAACCUAAAGUGCUCCAGCCAUUCCCUGGGUGCCGUCCCUGGUCCUGGAGAGCAGAGAUUGGAGCUGCCCCUCUGGAUCUCCUCUGCAGGAAGCUGCAGACAGCUGUCCGUGCAGGUGGAUGGACAAUUCCAGCAGGGAUGCAGAGGGGGAUGGCCCAGCCCUGCCCAGCAGCUGGAGAGGGGCAGUUUUAGUGCGGUGCUCUCCGAGACAAUAACCAUCAGAAAAAGCAAGGGGAUGAAGGGAAAAAUGACGACACUGCCCGAGCUCCAUCAGUGCAUUCCUAGUGGCAACUCAUUUCAGGGAAGAAUUAUCUCAGCUUUAUUUUAAUGAGGAUCAAUCAGGCUGAGGCUGCCACCAAGGUCAUCAGCUCACCCUGGGGCACCACCAUGCAUCAGUCCCCCUUGGGUGCAGAGUUAUUCCAUGGAUGAGCUGUGAGGGUGCAGCUUGGGAACAGCUUGGAGCAUUAAUUCCCCAGUGCCCAGAGCAGCUCCAGCAUGGGGACAAAUCCCGGAGGGACAAGGACACAGCACUGGCUCCACUCAGUCCCUGGGGACAGCCACCAGCUCCAGACAGCAUCAGGAUGUGCUGAUCCCUUUUCUGUGCAGCAGCACCAGCCCCGAGCCCAAGUUUGGUGUUAAUAUGGAAAUAUGGAUAAGAGCUUAUGCUGUGACAAUGAUUUACUGCCUUGAUAACUGCACCUGAUAACACAAAUUUAUCUUGGUCUCUCCAUUUCAAUUAUAUUUUUUCUAAUGUGUGUUUUGAAAUACAGAUUCCCUCGGUCACAGGAAUUUAUGGCAAUGGCUGUGUGGCUGGGAGAAUUCAAAUAAAUACAGGAACUGUUCUCUGCC